rnacentral:rRNA from 1 species
UACGUAGGGUGCGAGCGUUGUCCGGAAUUAUUGGGCGUAAAGGGCUCGUAGGCGGUCUGUUGCGUCGGGAGUGAAAACUCAGGGCUUAACCCUGAGCCUGCUUCCGAUACGGGCAGACUAGAGGUAUGCAGGGGGAGAACGGAAUUCCUGGUGUAGCGGUGAAAUGCGCAGAUAUCAGGAGGAACACCGGUGGCGAAGGCGGUUCUCUGGGCAUUACCUGACGCUGAGGAGCGAAAAGUGUGGGGAGCGAACAGG